UUCGUCCAACGGAAGCAGAGGAAAGUGGCGGACGGGUGAGUAACGCGUGGGUAACCUGCCUUACACAGGGGGAUAACAGUUAGAAAUGACUGCUAAUACCGCAUAAAACAGCAGAGUCGCAUGACUCAACUGUCAAAGAUUUAUCGGUGUAAGAUGGACCCGCGUCUGAUUAGCUAGUUGGUGUGGUAACGGCAUACCAAGGCAACGAUCAGUAGCCGGGCUGAGAGGCUCUUCGGCCACAUUGGGACUGAGACACGGCCCAGACUCC
rnacentral:rRNA from 1 species